rnacentral:rRNA from 1 species
UGGGGAAUAUUGGACAAUGGGCGCAAGCCUGAUCCAGCAAUGCCGCGUGUGUGAAGAAGGCCUUCGGGUUGUAAAGCACUUUUAUCAGGAGCGAAACGCUGUCGGCUAAUACCCGGCGGAACUGACGGUACCUGAGGAAUAAGCACCGGCUAACUUCGUGCCAGCAGCCGCGGUAAUACGAAGGGUGCAAGCGUUAAUCGGAAUUACUGGGCGUAAAGCGUGCGUAGGCGGUUUCUUAAGUCUGCUGUGAGAUCCCCGGGCUCAACCUGGGAAUGGCAGUGGAUACUGGGAGGCUAGAGUGUGUCAGAGGGUGGUGGAAUUCCCGGUGUAGCGGUGAAAUGCGUAGAGAUCGGGAGGAACAUCAGUGGCGAAGGCGGCCACCUGGGACAACACUGACGCUGAGGCACGAAAGCGUGGGGAGCAAACAGGAUUAGAUACCCUGGUAGUCCACGCCCUAAACGAUGCGAACUGGAUGUUGGUCUCAACUCGGAGAUCAGUGUCGAAGCUAACGCGUUAAGUUCGCCGCCUGGGGAGUACGGUCGCAAGACUGAAACUC